GAUGAAGAACGUAGCGAAAUGCGAUACGUAAUGUGAAUUGCAGAAUUCAGUGAAUCAUCAAGUCUUUGAACGCACAUUGCGCCCCCUGGUAUUCCGGGGGGCAUGCCUGUCCGAGCGUCAUUGCUGCCCUCAAGCACGGCUUGUGUGUUGGGCCUCCGUCCUCCUCCCGGGGGACGGGCCCGAAAGGCAGCGGCGGCACCGCGUCCGGUCCUCGAGCGUAUGGGGCUUCGUCACCCGCUCUUGUAGGCCCGGCCGGCGCUUGCCGACACAUCAAUCUUUUUUCCAGGUUGACCUCGGAUCAGGUAGGGAUACCCGCUGAACUUAAGCAUAUCAAUAAGGGAGGA
rnacentral:misc_RNA from 1 species